UACGUAGGGGGGCAAGCGUUGUCCGGAAUCAUUGGGCGUAAAGCGCGCGUAGGCGGCCCGGUAAGUCCGCUGUGAAAGUCAAAGGCUCAACCUUUGAAUGUCAGCGGAUACUGCCGGGCUAGAGUCCGGAAGAGGCGAGUGGAACUCCUGGUGUAGCGGUGGAAUGCGCAGAUAUCAGGAGGAACACCAAUGGCGAAGGCAGCUCGCUGGGACGUGACUGACGCUGAGACGCGAAAGCGUGGGGAGCAAACAGG
rnacentral:rRNA from 1 species